rnacentral:lncRNA from 1 species
UUAAGAUUCAAGAAGAAAUGGGUAAAUAAUCAGCAAAGAAAAAUUGUUGAUGUUAACAUUCUUGUCAUUUGGUCUUUAGUGAAAAGUUUUUGCAUUGGCAAUCAUAUCACAUUUUAUUUUUAAACAAAUAUCUAGAUUUUGACAUUUUUUCUAGUUAGAAAUGUUAAUAUGUAAUGCCAGCUAAAAGAAAGGUUAAACUUAGGGUCACAUCCUUUGGAAAAAAGAUCUGCAAUGCUCGGGGGUCUAGAAGGGGUUACAGAAUAGAGAAUAUUUGGGUGAAAGAGCAGAGUAAUAGGCUAAAUUUACAGAGAAUAGAGAAAAAUAGGGCCAAACAAUAAAAAAUAUAGAAUGAUGGAGUACUUAGAUAUAAAGAAUUGAGAACAAUGAGCAAAAGUUAUAUACAAAUAGAUAAAAUGGACCUAUAUAAUUAUGAAUAUAGAAGUAAAAGACCCCCUGUGCAGACCCCCAAAGUGUGCUGUAUUGUCUCCCUGUGUGAAGAUAAUUUUGCCAAACUGUAGAAGGUAGAUUGUUCAGAUGGAAUGAUAAUAGCCGUAGAAUGUUUGUUAUCUGCAUAUCUUUAUAACUGUUGGAGCUGAUUUAUGAUUCAAGGAUGUUCUCUCCCAUUUAGUUUUGAAGUUUGCCAUAUAUUUGGAAUCCUCUGGUUUUACACAUGUAGGUUCAUUAAAAAAUUUGCCCUCUUACCCCUACUUUUAUUUUUAAAGUGUUAUUAUGUAUAAUUUAAAACGCCAUAUUUCAAAAUCUUAAAGAAAGAUGUGAAACUGAUGACAGGUAAACGUCUGACAGAAACAAUGCAUCUGUGUAGGUCUGUGUAAUGAUACUACAAAUUAGCUCUUAAAACUAUUGUAUAAGCUAUAAAGAAAUGACUGUGAUAUUUAUUUUAUUUUAUAUGCUGAUUUAAAUGUAUUUGUGAAAUUUCUCUUAAACCCUACAUAAAGUUAAUCAGUGCUUAUGAUAUCGUUGUCUUGAUAGAAUGCAAAAUAAAUCAUCUACCCCAAGUGGUAUGAAAAAUUAAAAUAUAUGGAGUUGUCAUAGACAGCAAACCAACUAUUAGUUCCGCCAUGUUGUAUAUCUUUCUUCAAAAUAUCCUACUUAUAUUUACUCAUGUUCAUAAAAGGGAUGUAUAGAGAGAUUUCACAUUAUCUUAUUAACAAUUUCAUUUUUAACACAUUUUGCAAAUGUAUGUUGUGUUAAAAGUUGUAUCAACAUUAAAACGCAUUUUUAAUA